rnacentral:lncRNA from 1 species
GAAAGAUGAAAAUAGAGAAUGCCGACUCAAAAGAAAAAUAGGGAAGUGGAAGGAAAAUAAGAUAAGGGAGGUAGCGAUUCCAAGUUGCCUCCCCCACGCCAGCUCGUCCCAUCUGCGAGCAGCUAAAAAUGGAACCACUACCUCUCUGGAAACAUAACCCAGAGGGGCUAGCUGGCUUGAAAAAGAAGAAAGCUACAACGCCGACCUUCCGUCCGGCAGGGCCAACAAAGCUUUCCCUGAUCGAGAUUGGAAGGAUGCUAAAACCAGCACUUGUCGUAGAAGCUUAAAGAAUAUGGAGACAAGAUUUGAACUUAGGACCUCUACUCUGAUACCAUAUUAAAAUCAGCCAUUGUUCCAAAAGCUUAAGCUUAUAGAAUGAGACAAAUUUAUUUAUAUAUUUUAUAUUUGCUUAUGAAGAAGGCUGCAAGAUGACCGGACCUUCUUGGUUGGCGAUCGAAA